GACGAACGCUGGCGGCGUGCUUAACACAUGCAAGUCGAACGGAAAGGCCCUGCUUUUGUGGGGUGCUCGAGUGGCGAACGGGUGAGUAACACGUGAGUAACCUGCCCUUGACUUUGGGAUAACUUCAGGAAACUGGGGCUAAUACCGGAUAGGAGCUCCUGCUGCAUGGUGGGGGUUGGAAAGUUUCGGCGGUUGGGGAUGGACUCGCGGCUUAUCAGCUUGUUGGUGGGGUAGUGGCUUACCAAGGCUUUGACGGGUAGCCGGCCUGAGAGGGUGACCGGCCACAUUGGGACUGAGAUACGGCCCAGACUCCUACGGGAGGCAGCAGUGGGGAAUAUUGCACAAUGGGCGGAAGCCGGAUGCAGCAGCGCCGCGUGCGGGAUGACGGCCUUCGGGUUGUAAACCGCUUUCGCCUGUGACGAAGCGUGAGUGACGGUAAUGGGUAAAGAAGCACCGGCUAACUACGU
rnacentral:rRNA from 1 species